rnacentral:tRNA from 1 species
CCGGGUCCUCGACGGCGACGGCGUCCCCGGGCCUGAGGUGCACGGCGAGGACCCGCUCGAUCGCGUCCAGCGAGCCGGA